AUCUGCUUCUGCAUUUGCAAGAGAUGAUCUUUGGUCAGCCUCACUAACUGACGUUCAUCAAAGCCAAUUGGAGCUGAUGUCCUGUGGGUUGUUCUGCAUUUUGAAAAUCUCCCCUUUGUGGCAAAGCUUUUACCAAGGUAGCCUACAGAAACCUCGUGAGGGCAAUGCUGCGGAGGGCUCUUGCCGAGAGAUGCGUAGCGGCGCUGUACACCAGGCUCUUACCUCUGCUGCCACGACUGGAGCGUUCCUUGGCUGCUGUGCUGCUGUGAUAAUUUUGCCCCAAGUGAUUGGACCUCAUGAAAUAGUACUUAUUGUGUGGUGGUUUUACAAAUAAGAAGUGGAGCUUUAAAUGAAUUAUACCUGUCAUCCUCUUUCCUGUAGAAUGAAAGCAUUCAUCCCAUUAGAUCCUAUUAUAAUGAAAUAAACGCUUCAGCAUACUGUCCAUU